UACGAAGGGGGCGAGCGUUGUUCGGAUUUACUGGGCGUAAAGGGCGCGCAGGCGGCUCAUUUUGUCAGGCGUGAAAGCCCCGGGCUUAACCUGGGAACUGCGUUUGAUACGGAUGGGCUAGAGUUCGGGAGAGGAGAGUGGAAUUCCCAGUGUAGAGGUGAAAUUCGUAGAUAUUGGGAAGAACACCGGUGGCGAAAGCGGCGUACUGGGGCUUAACUGACGCUGAGGCACGAAAGCCAGGGGAGCGAACGGG
rnacentral:rRNA from 1 species